rnacentral:tRNA from 1 species
AACUGUUUGGCUGACGGGAAAGUAGAUGUUUUGAAAGCAUUUUAUAUAGGUUCGAAUCCUUUAACAGUUU